CGUAACUAUAACGGUCCUAAGGUAGCGAAAUUCCUUGUCGGGUAAGUUCCGACCCGCACGAAAGGCGUAACGAUUUGGGCACUGUCUCAACGAGAGACUCGGUGAAAUCAUAGUACCUGUGAAGAUGCAGGUUACCCGCGACAGGACGGAAAGACCCCGUGGAGCUUUACUGUAGCCUGAUAUUGAAAUUCGGCACAGCUUGUACAGGAUAGGUAGGAGCCUUUGAAACGUGAGCGCUAGCUUACGUGGAGGCGCUGGUGGGAUACUACCCUAGCUGUGUUGGCUUUCUAACCCGCACCACUUAUCGUGGUGGGAGACAGUGUCAGGCGGGCAGUUUGACUGGGGCGGUCGCCUCCUAAAAGGUAACGGAGGCGCUCAAAGGUUCCCUCAGAAUGGUUGGAAAUCAUUCAUAGAGUGUAAAGGCAUAAGGGAGCUUGACUGCGAGACCUACAAGUCGAGCAGGGUCGAAAGACGGACUUAGUGAUCCGGUGGUUCCGCAUGGAAGGGCCAUCGCUCAACGGAUAAAAGCUACCCCGGGGAUAACAGGCUUAUCUCCCCCAAGAGUUCACAUCGACGGGGAGGUUUGGCACCUCGAUGUCGGCUCAUCGCAUCCUGGGGCUGUAGUCGGUCCCAAGGGUUGGGCUGUUCGCCCAUUAAAGCGGUACGCGAGCUGGGUUCAGAACGUCGUGAGACAGUUCGGUCCCUAUCCGUCGUGGGCGUAGGAAAUUUGAGAGGAGCUGUCCUUAGUACGAGAGGACCGGGAUGGACAUACCUCUGGUGUACCAGUUGUCGUGCCAACGGCAUAGCUGGGUAGCUAUGUGUGGACGGGAUAAGUGCUGAAAGCAUCUAAGCAUGAAGCCCCCCUCAAGAUGAGAUUUCCCAACUUCGGUUAUAAGAUCCCUCAAAGAUGAUGAGGUUAAUAGGUUCGAGGUGGAAGCAUGGUGACAUGUGGAGCUGACGAAUACUAAUCGAUCGAAGACUUAAUCAA
rnacentral:rRNA from 1 species